rnacentral:rRNA from 1 species
GGUCAAGUGACUAAGUGCAUACGGUGGAUGCCUUGGCAGUAAGAGGCGAUGAAGGACGUUAUAGCAUGCGAUAAGCCCCGGGGAGCCUGCAAAUUGGCAUUGAUCCGAGGAUUUCCGAAUGGGGAAACCCACCUGAUUUAUCAGGUAUUCCUAACUGAAUACAUAGGUUAGGAAGGCGAACGUGGUGAACUGAAACAUCUAAGUAACCAUAGGAAAAGAAAUCAACCGAGAUUCCCUGAGUAGCGGCGAGCGAACGGGGAACAGCCCUUAAGGUGUUUUUGUUUUAGUGGAACGGUCUGGAAAGUCCGGCGACACAGGGUGAUAGCCCCGUACACGAAAAAGCAAUGACAUUGAAAACGAGUAGGUCGGGACACGAGUUAUCUUGACUGAACAUGGGGGGACCAUCCUCCAAGGCUAAAUACUACUUACUGACCGAUAGUGAACCAGUACCGUGAGGGAAAGGCGAAAAGAACCCCUGUGAGGGGAGUGAAAUAGAUCCUGAAACCGUAUGCAUACAAGCAGUAGGAGCAGACUUGUUCUGUGACUGCGUACCUUUUGUAUAAUGGGUCAGCGACUUACAUUCAGUAGCAAGCUUAACCGAAUAGGGGAGGCGUAGGGAAACCGAGUCUUAAUAGGGCGACCAGUUGCUGGGUGUAGACCCGAAACCGAGCGAUCUAUCCAUGGCCAGGUUGAAGGUGGGGUAAAACCUACUGGAGGACCGAACCCACUUAUGUUGAAAAAUGAGGGGAUGAGCUGUGGAUCGGAGUGAAAGGCUAAUCAAGCUCGGAGAUAGCUGGUUCUCCUCGAAAGCUAUUUAGGUAGCGCCUCGUGUCUCACUCCAGGGGGUAGAGCACUGUUUUCGCAAUGGGGGCGUCAAGCUCUACUGACCGAAUGCAAACUCCGAAUACCUGGAAGUGCAAUCACGGGAGACACACAGCGGGUGCUAACGUCCGUUGUGGAGAGGGAAACAACCCAGACCGCCAGCUAAGGUCCCAAAAUCACAGUUUAGUGGGAAACGAUGUGGGAAGGCACAGACAGCCAGGAGGUUGGCUUAGAAGCAGCCAUCCUUUAAAGAAAGCGUAAUAGCUCACUGGUCGAGUCGGCCUGCGCGGAAGAUAUAACGGGGCUCAAACUGUGUACCGAAGCUGCGGAUGCGAUUAUUUAUUCGUAAAUAGUGGCAUGGUAGAGGAGCGUUCUGUAAGCCGUUGAAGGUGUUCUGAAAGGGAUGCUGGAGGUAUCAGAAGUGCGAAUGCUGACAUGAGUAACGAUAAUGCGAGUGAAAAACUCGCACGCCGAAAGCCCAAGGUUUCCUUCGCAACGCUAAUCGGCGAAGGGUGAGUCGGCCCCUAAGGCGAGGCAGAAAUGCGUAGUCGAUGGGAAACAGGUUAAUAUUCCUGUACCGCUUUAUACUGCGAUGGGGGGACGGAGAAGGCUAGAUCAUCCUGGUGAUUGGUUAUCCAGGUACAAGCAUGUAGGGAGAGGUCUUAGGAAAAUCCGGGACCUUAAUUCUGAGAUGUGAUGUCGAGCGACUACGGUCGUGAAGUGAUUGAUGCCAUGCUUCCAAGAAAAGCCUCUAAGCUUCAGGUAUAAAGUGACCGUACCCCAAACCAACACAGGUGGGCAGGGUGAGAAUCCUAAGGCGCUUGAGAGAACUCGGGUGAAGGAACUAGGCAAAAUGGUACCGUAACUUCGGGAGAAGGUACACCUGAGCUGGUGAUCGGACUUGCUCCGUAAGCUGGCUUGGGUAGCAUUAAAAUGGUGGCUGCAACUGUUUAUUAAAAACAUAGCACUCUGCAAACUCGAAAGAGGACGUAUAGGGUGUGACGCCUGCCCGGUGCCGGAAGGUUAAUUGAUGGGGUUAGACUUAGGUCGAAGCUCUUGAUCGAAGCCCCGGUAAACGGCGGCCGUAACUAUAACGGUCCUAAGGUAGCGAAAUUCCUUGUCGGGUAAGUUCCGACCUGCACGAAUGGCGUAAUGAUGGCCACACUGUCUCCACCCGAGACUCAGUGAAAUUGAAAUCGCUGUUAAGAUGCAGCGUCCCCGCGGCUAGACGGAAAGACCCCGUGAACCUUUACUAUAGCUUUGCACUGGACUUUGAAUAUGUUUGUGUAGGAUAGGUGGGAGGCAUUGAAACCAUGACGCUAGUUGUGGUGGAGCCAACCUUGAAAUACCACCCUGACAUGUUUGAGGUUCUAACCUCGGUCCAUUAUCUGGAUUAGGGACAGUGUAUGGUGGGUAGUUUGACUGGGGCGGUCUCCUCCCAAAGAGUAACGGAGGAGCACUAAGGUACCCUCAGCACGGUCGGAAAUCGUGCAAUGAGUGCAAAGGCAUAAGGGUGCUUGACUGCGAGACAGACACGUCGAGCAGGUACGAAAGUAGGUCUUAGUGAUCCGGUGGUUCUGUAUGGAAGGGCCAUCGCUCAACGGAUAAAAGGUACUCCGGGGAUAACAGGCUGAU